AUGAGUUCUCAUAAGGCCUUUCUUCUUCCUUUUCUGAGCUGCAGGGAUUUAAACAGGUCAUACUUUAAGUCCAAGGGCCUGACCUGGUGCCCAGGAAAGCCAAUGGCAGCUUUUCCACUGAGUUUAGCAGGCUUUGGAUCUCGAAGUGCACAAAGGCACAAUUUUGGGGUGCCCUCCUCCUUUUUCAGCAGGAGCUGGCACUGGCUUUUAUAAAUCACCUUCUCCGCCGCUGGAUCUGCCCUGCCUCUCAGGAGCUGCUGCACACUCCGGAGUCAGUGUUGCCCUCUCAACUUCAACUACAGGAGAGCAGUAGCCAAUCCGAGGAGCGAAGCAGACUUGGUGUCUUCCAUCAAUUUCCCUAAGUGUCUCUGGUCCCUGCUAGGAGUAGCUAUAUCACUCCCUCUUCUUUCUCUCCAAUGACCUGAAGCACCAGCUCCGCAAGCUGUGAUCAAUCGGGCAUAAUGCAAUGCAGGGCAGCCCAGAAUUUGGUGAGCAUCCAAGGAUGUAUAUUUACUGAUGGGCUCAGGAGUGUGUCAGCAUUUAGUUUCAGUCUAGCUGCACCUUUCCUGCACCACCGAAUCACAAAGUCUCUGUCUCUGCAUCUGGAUUGGGACUGAUUCUACCCUGGGAUCCUCUGAAAAACCAAGAGCAUUCCCUUCUCCUUACUGCUGUGCCACAGAAAUCCACCAAGAUGUGCGACUGCUUUCAUCUAGUUCUUCCUACCUGGCCAGGAUCUCCAGCCAGUGGUGGGCUUACUUUUUCUAUACUUUGCUGUAUUGUGCUUCUGCUUUCUGUGCUCAGCUAGCUGCAAAUCCACCUCUGAAGCAAACCCUGCAGCUUCCAGGGUGUGGCUUUCUCUGAUGCUGCAUGAAUCAGAUACAGAGGAAUAGAGUUAAGAGAAGCCUGUAGUGAUUCAGCCUAAACUUUCCUCAAUGCCUGCAUUAUGCUAAAGCCAAGUGCAAAGGGCCCUCCAGCAUUGUGUAUAAUUAAGUGAAAUUCUUUCUAAUUUAGCUCUUUUCAGAAUGCAUGUUGUCAGAAGGUUGCCCUUCAUUUCUCAUAGCAAACAGAAAGUAACCAGCAGUAUGCCCUGCAUAACACAACUGAGCCUGCUUUACCUAUAGCUAAGAUGUAUUGUAUAGUAUGAAUUGAAUUUGUAUAUUUUAUAGUGGACUGAGCUUUGUAUUGAAUCUCAUGAGCAAGCAACAUAGUCCCCUAAAAAGUUCCUCUUAGUCUUUUCCUCCUGCCAGCAGAGAGAAGUCAGAAAUGUAAACUUCUUUUAAAAUGGAGAAAAAUACAUAAUCUUUAGUGGGAGAUAUUGCUGCAAGAGAACAGCAGAUGACUUAGUUGAAAGAUGUUAAAGUAUAAAGAAAAAUAAAAAUCCUAAUUCUCAGUUGUCA
rnacentral:lncRNA from 1 species